GCCAUGCUCCAUUCGUUCCCCACCCACGAAAUCCCUAGAUCUCUCCUGCUGUUCCCCAUGCACGCCGGCGCCCCAUGCCCGACCGCCGCCUGCGGCUACAGCCGUCCGACGGUCAAUCCCACCGCUGCCCCACGCGCCCUUCCUCUGUAGCAUCACCCACGCCGCCCUGCCCCUACAACGCAACCUAACUCCGUCAUGCCUCUCUCCGCCGCCGGCUCCAUGCCCUCUUGCUCUCUCUCUGGUUGGCCGCCUCUCUCCAACAUCCCUGGCCUAACCUCCCCAUCUCCACCGUACAGCUCACGAAGACACACGCAGUGGCAGGUUUGGAUUGGGGCAGCGUGCGCCUGGUCAAGGGCAUCCCUCUCUGUCUUUGGCUGGGCAGGGGCACCGAAGCGGCUGAGGAUGGAAAAUGGUAAGCGCAAGCGGAAAGCUAAAGAUGGUGGGGUCACGGAGGAACAACUGAAAGUGGUAGAGUAUAAACUACAGAGAAGUAGGACCAUAGAAGAAAAUGAAGUAAGUCAUUCUGCUAAAUCAAAACUGUAGUAUAUCCAUCCACAUACCAAAACUGUAGUAUAUCCCUGCAGCAGACUCUGUUCUGGACAUAAAUAAACACAUAUGCAUGUAAUCAUUCUCAAAACACAAACAAUGUGCUCCCUCCGUCCCAAAAUAAAUGUCUCAACCUUAGUAUAACUUUGUACUAGAGUUAGUACAAAGUUAAGACACUUAUUUUGGGACGGAGGGGGUAUAAGAUAACAAACUGCAACGGAGACGUCUCCAUGUCUCCUCCUGAAAAAAUGGAUCGGCCCCGCGUCGUCUCCGGGCGACACGGGCGGCAACAUCUCCUCCGCCCUCCGCCGGCAGGCUCUAAGUGUGCCCCCCUCGCCGUCGCCGGAGGACGUCGUCGGGCAAAGUCCAUGCGGCUGAUGGCGACAGCGAGGACUCUUUCUAUGUGUAGCGGAGGCGGUGUAGUGGGAUGUGGUUGUGGCAGAUUUGCUGCGCGGUUAGCCGGCACCGCACGCGGUGUGAGCUGCAGGGUGGCCUGUGAUCUUUUCGGGGUCGUCCCUGUGGAUCAAGUGGUCGACCAGCGGCUACAAGUCCACAGCUUCGUGGUAUCUCCUCUGGCGGCCGACGUACCAGGACUCCAGAUCAUGGCUGAACAAGGCAUCUUGUUCGCAUGUGUCAACCACGUAAUAAGGUACAAGAUGCAUGCUUACAUGGAUGCAUGGUGGCUCAUCAAGCAUCUUUUGGAUCUUCGUGCAUGCAGCCGCCUGAUGGCCCUUGUGGGCUCUAGGCGGCGCGCUUGAUUCUGAAGUGCGGUGACUCCUCGCUACGGCCAUGGCUCGUGUACGGAUGUGCUGACAUCUACGAUGGCUCAUGUACGGAUGCACUAACAUCUACAACGACAUCUUACAUGGGCAUGGUAAGAGAGCAUCGCGAUCCCAUGAAGGUUCACGGCCGGCAACCAUGGAUCUGGUGGUGACCACCCGCGGCGCUAUGAUCCACGGCUUGGUGGUGGUGAUUCAGAUUUGGUCGACCGAGUGAGGGUGAUUGCACACCGUGCUGCAGCGACCUCCUACGGCUCCACGGAGACGGUGGUCAUUGCAAGAUCUUUGGUUCAUCUCAAGAUCGAGUGGCUGACUUCGGCAGUGGGAUGCAAAUUAUGGGCGAGCACUUGACGCAGAGGAAUGGUUGUGCAGUGGCGGCGGUCACAUCGCAUGUAACUGCUGGGAUCAUGAAAAAAGUGGCGGCGACAACACUUGCAUGACUUCGAUGGUGGUGCUACUUGAGCACCCGGUCGUGAGGUCCGGGGUGAACGCCUAGGCCUGGCCCUGGCAAUGGCGAUGUUUUUUAUGUCGUUACCUUGUUGAAGGCAUUGCACGGAUAAGCUCCGACUGAUUCUUCAGGGUGAAAACCUAGAUUCUGAUCUUGGUGGUUAGAUCCGGUGACGGUGACGCUUGAGUGUCGCUCCCUUCUUCAAGGCGUUGCUGUUGAAGAACCUUGUCGUCUGUGUGAUGUCAUUAGAUAAUUGGUGCGGAUAUGGUGUUCAAUGUAGUUUGCCGAUCGUGGCUCUGAUCACUUUGGGUUUUUCUUUUUUCCUCGGCUACGCAUAGCUUUGGUCUUAUAUGACUUUGCUAUUUGUCGCCGUGUUUUUGUGUGUGUGUGUGUGUGUGUGUGUGUGUGUUUGUGUUGGCUGUGUGCAUCCUACCUAUGCAGAGGCUAGGUGUGUGCUCUUUGAGUUUGUAUCCUUUUUAUGAUCCUUUUUGAGCUAAUAAAAUACACCCUUUGUCGAAAAAAAUAAGAUAACAAAACAGUAGGCAGUGUUGUUGUAAACGUGUCUAGUCAUCAUAAAUCUCCUUACUUUUUUUUCUUAUAGUCUUGCAGUGCUAUCAUCAAAAAGAAUCGCGCCAAUGAAGUGCCUCAUACAUCCGGGAGCAAGAGUCACAAACAAUAUAUAUAUGAUACUCCCUCCAUUCCUAAGUAUAGGGUGUGUAGUUUUUGGCACGGAAAUUAAAGAACGCACAUGGAGGGAAAAUUUCACAAGUCUUGGGCGAGAUUGCACAUGACUAAUUGACAUGAGAAAAUAGAGGAGCUUGCCCUAUAUAAGGAAAUGUAAUCAAAUCCAUUAAAAAUUUAUCCAAACGAGUGGUGAAAUGCAAUACACCUUAUAUUUUGGACUUAUUCUCAAAAAAUCUAUACACCUUAUAUCAAGGAACGGAGGGAGUAAUUUUCUUGUAGCCUCCUAGAUCUUCUUGCUACCUUAUAUUUUGGACUUAUUCUCAAAAAUCUAUACACCUUAUAUCAAGGAACGGAGGGAGUAAUUUUCUUGUAGCCUCCUAGAUCUUCUCAUGAGGUUUUUGUCAAUGUUGUGAUCACAAGGGAUGCAACGCUGCCUUAUGAAUAUGAUGGUUUACGAUUUGUCGCCGAUGUUGUCACAAGGUCCAUUGCAUGGCCAUCUAGCAAGAUGAAACCCUACAAGCCAGGGGUAUCUUCCUCAUCCCGCCACUAAGGUAUUUAUGUUGUGAUUCACUAUUUAUGUGAUCCUGUUGUUAUCAUGACCACUUGGUACUGUACAAGAGCUUCUUCUUGGUGCUCCCUAGCUAGCUAAAGUGCAUGAAGAGUCCAUCAUGUAAUCUGGUCAUCGUGGAAUUUAUCAAGGAAUCCUAGCUCAAAGUGAAAAAAGAUUCCAUGAUGACCAGAUUCCAUAAGUUUAUCAUGGAAUCCUUGCUGCUACUUAUUUAGUAAUAGUUGCUUCCCUGUGUUCAUUUAAGCCCAGUUUGGAUGCAAAGUAUUUUUAAUAGCGUAGUUUCUGGAAAAAAACUGCAGUUUUGAAAAUACUUUGAGGUGUUUGGUCCAAAUAUUGCAGCCACCAGGCUCCCUAGCUAGCUCAAAGUGAAAAUACCAUGGUUCUGCAAACUGUAAUAUCCCCAAUGUAUCUGCUGCCACUAGGAACAUAGCAUUAUGUUUUUUGUGUCCAUGUAUCUAUUGCAGCCACCAGGAAGAUAGCAACAUCCCUUUCAGUGCCAUUCAAUUUAUAGCCACUACUAAAGAGUAACAAAGUUAACUAAAAUAUUGUACUUCUCACAUGGAUAGAAAACACCAGUAAGGUGUAUCUCUAAUACUUAGCUAUAUGAUACUAACUAGAUGAUACCCCGCGCGUUGCUGCGGGAUAUGUUUAGCUAUACAUAUACAUGUAUCAAGGAGACAUGAAAAAGGAGACAUAAUACGAUCAAUCAUACUAUAUAUAGUUUGAUGGUCAAAUAUAUCAUCCCUAAAAUGUAGUGAAAUAUUUGUUGUUGGCUUCAUUUUUCAGUUUAAAGAAUGAACAAUGUAAAUGAGAAUUUAAUCACAGUAAUGCACUAUGGGAUAACUUGUGUUUAUAAUAUGAAUUCAUCAAAACAAAUAACUGGAUCUGGACAUUUUCAGAUAGCGUACAGGGGAGACCAUCUCAUCGUACACAUGGUAGAUUGUUUGUUAUAGGAAAAUUUGAAAGACGAGGAAUAAGAGGAAUAAGAAAGAACCAUGAAGCUGUCAGUUUGCGUCAACUAGAUAUCUUCUGUAAUGGAGGAACACCAAUGCAUCUUGUAGCUACCAUUUUGUAAAGGAUAUCUUUGUGUAAGAGCAAGCAUUGAAUCGUCGGACAUGUAUCUAUCAUUUUAUAAACCUAUCGGGUGUUUCGGUCACCCAGACAAAUGUUUCCUCUUAUUUAGUUACCUCUAUUAUGAGAAUUAUUAGUGUUAUUUUUGUUUGGUUCUAGUUUAAUAUUUGGGAGUACAUGCAAGUUAUUGUAAGUUGAUAGAUAAUGAUGAGAUAUGUAACAUGAUUGAUAUUGUUUUGAUAAUAUAAUAUGCCAAAUACCAUUGGCAAAGGGCAGAUGAAC